rnacentral:rRNA from 1 species
UGCCAGCAGCCGGGCUAAUACGGAGGGGGUUAGCGUUGUUCGGAAUUACUGGGCGUAAAGCGCACGUAGGCGGAUUGGAAAGUUGGGGGUGAAAUCCCGGGGCUCAACCCCGGAACUGCCUCCAAAACUAUCAGUCUAGAGUUCGAGAGAGGUGAGUGGAAUUCCAAGUGUAGAGGUGAAAUUCGUAGAUAUUUGGAGGAACACCAGUGGCGAAGGCGACUCACUGGUCCGAUACUGACGCUGAGGUGCGAAAGCGUGGGGAGCAAACAGGAUUAGAUA